rnacentral:rRNA from 1 species
GAGUUUGAUCCUGGCUCAGGACGAACGCUGGCGGCGUGCUUAACACAUGCAAGUCGAGCGGUAAGGCCCCUUCGGGGGUACACGAGCGGCGAACGGGUGAGUAACACGUGGGUGAUCUGCCCUGCACUUCGGGAUAAGCCUGGGAAACUGGGUCUAAUACCGGAUAUGACCAAAGGCUGCAUGGCUUUUGGUGGAAAGGUUUACUGGUGCGGGAUGGGCCCGCGGCCUAUCAGCUUGUUGGUGGGGUAAUGGCCUACCAAGGCGACGACGGGUAGCCGACCUGAGAGGGUGACCGGCCACACUGGGACUGAGACACGGCCCAGACUCCUACGGGAGGCAGCAGUGGGGAAUAUUGCACAAUGGGCGAAAGCCUGAUGCAGCGACGCCGCGUGAGGGAUGACGGCCUUCGGGUUGUAAACCUCUUUCAGCAAGGACGAAGCGAAAGUGACGGUACCUGCAGAAGAAGCACCGGCCAACUACGUGCCAGCAGCCGCGGUAAUACGUAGGGUGCGAGCGUUGUCCGGAAUUACUGGGCGUAAAGAGCUCGUAGGCGGUUUGUCGCGUCGUCUGUGAAAAUCAGCAGCUCAACUGCUGGCUUGCAGGCGAUACGGGCAGACUUGAGUACUGCAGGGGAGACUGGAAUUCCUGGUGUAGCGGUGAAAUGCGCAGAUAUCAGGAGGAACACCGGUGGCGAAGGCGGGUCUCUGGGCAGUAACUGACGCUGAGGAGCGAAAGCGUGGGUAGCGAACAGGAUUAGAUACCCUGGUAGUCCACGCCGUAAACGGUGGGCGCUAGGUGUGGGUUUCCUUCCACGGGAUCCGUGCCGUAGCUAACGCAUUAAGCGCCCCGCCUGGGGAGUACGGCCGCAAGGCUAAAACUCAAAGGAAUUGACGGGGGCCCGCACAAGCGGCGGAGCAUGUGGAUUAAUUUCGAUGCAACGCGAAGAACCCUUACCUGGGUUUGACAUAUACCGGGAAAGCCGUAGAGAUACGCCCCCCUUGUGUCGGG